GGGCGGUUAACUCAGUGGUUAGAGUGCCAUCCUCACACGGUGGAAGUCGCAGGUUCUAAUCCCGCACCGACCA
rnacentral:tRNA from 1 species